UUUGCAUACAAAAAUAAGCGUCAAGCUUUGAACAAAUGCAUCAAUAAAUGUGUGAAAACUACCAAUUCAUAUUAUAAACUACACAAAAAUCCUCACCAAAUAUGAAAUGACGUGUGUUCUGCUUGUUUUUCUUCAUAACAGAAGAAAACUACCACUUCCGCCUGGAUUCUUUCACAAUAAAAGUAUCCCCUCAAAAAUAGUAGACAGGACUAAGAAACUUCCUGUUUUCACAAAAAAUCUAAUUCGCAAACAAACUAAUUCGCAAACUUUUCUCCUCGGUUAAUUGAUUAGCCGAUUGACAGAAAAUGAAUCAUCAUCUAUUUAGAUAAUUAAUUGAUCGUUUCAACCCUUUUUCAAACAGAAAUACCAAGUACCAAGCUAUACAAAGCUUCUGAGGAUUUUCAGCUUCUCUCAACUUCAGAAUCAGAAUCAGAACUUUCAAUUCACUUCCUUCUCCAGGCACACUGCACAGCUUUAUUCGUGUCGACUGCCCAGAGUCCACGGAUACAGCCCUGCACCUCUCACCACCACCACAAAUUCAGCCUGACCACAAAUAUACAAAAGAGAAUCCUGUUUCUUUACAAAGUGCCUCCCUGUCCUCCUCCCUGAUCUUAUCCUGGGACCUGCAACAGCACAUCUACAGACCAGCCGUGACAGCAGCUACAUUCCAGCAGCCUCUCCUGCCUCUGUUCAGACAUGUCGCUCUACAGUUUUGGCCUGGAGCCGCUCUCCUGCCACACCUGGAACAAAGACAGGAC